AUGGAUGAGCACAGCUCGCAGUCUGCCAGCUGUGUCGACCAUGGGGAUGGCGGCGGCAACGAUGGUCUGGGCGCAGCUGCCGCUGGGUCUGAUUCCGACUUGGACGGGUCGUCCUCAAGCGUUGUUCCUGGAGAUCCACCCAACCCAACAUCACACAUCUCCGUGAAGCAUGCAGUGUGCGUGAUCCGGAAGUUUGACAACUACAAGAAGUGGUUGGUGGAGCAGAUUGGAUUUGGCAGUAUGCUGAAGCUGCCAGCCCUGCAGAAGUUGAGUCUGAAGUCGAGCGCUUGGAUUAUGAGUAGAGUUAGCGUCAACCGCCGGGAGAUCAGGCUGAGGAACAACAAGGUUCUGAAGUUUUAUGCUGAGGAUGUACACAAGGUUUUUGGGAUUCCAUGUGGACAUCGUAGUGUCAAGGGGGUAGCUGAAGAUUUUUUGAUGCGCGACAUCAAUGAGAAUUCAAGCAAGCUAGAGAAAGAUUGUUUCCAGAUCGCCUUCGUGAUAUUUGUAAUGGGUCAUGUGCUAGUUCCAUCAACGAAGCACAACUACACGACCAUCGACUUCUGGGGAGCGGUGGCUAGCACUGAGUCCAUAGACCAGUUCAAUUGGUGCGAGUAUGUGCUUCAGCACCUCCUUGAUGCAGUCACGAAGCUGAAGAAAGAAUGA
rnacentral:rRNA from 1 species